AAUUCGGUUUCGGUUACAAACCAAACCAAAAACUAAAUUCAAAUCCGGUUUGGUUUUUUUUGGUUUUUAAAACGGUUCGGUUCACGGUUAAACAUGGUUAGAAUUACCCGGGAGCCCAAGCCUGAGAUCGAUGUGGAUGAUGAAAAUGAUUAUCCAAGACUUAAAGUUCAUGAGGAGCCUGUGGCAGAUGAAGAAUUGGAUCUUAAAGAUGGUACCGGGUCGCUCCAAGCUAUCUGCCACCAAUGUUGAAGAUAUUUGGCAUACGAGCUUAACUGAGGUAUCCAACCCGCUUUGUAAGCCGAAUAAUCCCGAGGUGACCACCAGCUCUACUGGUAGCCCAGAGGCCAAAGUCGUCGUGAGUGAACCUCUUUUUGGGUAAAGAAGUCGUCGUGGGUGAACCUCUGUGCCCACAAGAGGCAGGAAGAUGGCGCAUUUGCAUGACUUACCCCUUGACCUUCUGGAUCUUAUCAUCGUAUUGUUAGCAAUAUUCACUGAUGGCGCCAGAGACCUGACAAGAUUUGCAGUAACAUGCAAGCAGAUUCAGAGAAUGGCUGGACGAGUGCAUAUCCUAAGUAUAGUCAACUUACACCAGUUUUACAGAUGACUACACAAAGCAUCGUCACCCUCAUGACCUCCUUUGUGUGUGCGCCACAGCUGGAAAUCGAGAGGCCAUGUCCAUACUUGCAAUGGUAAUGAUUUUUGCAGAAUUGUCUGAAUAUUUCUCUCUUAUACCAAUGCGCCAAUAUUAGACUCAUUUUGUACAUAAACGUUUAUUUGUAUUAUUAUGUUCAUUUUUGAUU